rnacentral:rRNA from 1 species
AUUGAACGCUGGCGGCAGGCCUAACACAUGCAAGUCGAGCGGAUGAAAGGGGCUUGCUCCUGGAUUCAGCGGCGGACGGGUGAGUAAUACGCAGGAAUCUACCUAGUAGUGGGGGAGUAACGUUUCGUAAAGGGGACGGCUAAUAACCGCAUACGUUCUGAGGAAGAAAGCAGGGGAGUCGCAAGACCUUGCGCUAUUAGAUGAGCUUGCGUCCGAUUAGCUAGUUGGUGGGGUAAAGGACCUACCAAGGCGACGAUCGGUAACUGGUCUGAGAGGAUGAUCAGUCACACUGGAACUGAGACACGGUCCAGACUCCUACGGGAGGCAGCAGUGGGGAAUUUUGGACAAUGGGCGCAAGCCUGAUCCAGCCAUGCCGCGUGAGUGAAGAAGGCCUUCGG